UACGGAGGAUCCAAGCGUUAUCCGGAUUUAUUGGGUUUAAAGGGAGCGUAGGCGGCCUAUUAAGUCAGGGGUGAAAGACUGUGGCUCAACCAUCGCAGUGCCUUUGAUACUGGUAGACUUGAAUGUAGUUGAGGUAGGCGGAAUGUGACAAGUAGCGGUGAAAUGCAUAGAUAUGUCACAGAACACCGAUUGCGAAGGCAGCUUACUAAGCUAUAAUUGACGCUGAGGCUCGAAAGCGUGGGGAUCAAACAGG
rnacentral:rRNA from 1 species